rnacentral:rRNA from 1 species
CCAUGCAAGUCGAGCGGGGUUUACGGAGCAGCUUGCUGCACUGUAAACCUAGCGGCGGACGGGUGAGUAACGCGUGGGCAACCUGCCUUACACAGGGGGAUAACACUGGGAAACUAGUGCUAAUACCGCAUAACAUCAUUUUAUGGCAUCAUGAGAUGAUCAAAGGAGCAAUCCGGUGUAAGAUGGGCCCGCGUCCGAUUAGCUAGUUGGUGAGGUAACGGCUCACCAAGGCGACGAUGGGUAGCCGACCUGAGAGGGUGAUCGGCCACACUGGGACUGAGACACGGCCCAGACUCCUACGGGAGGCAGCAGUGGGGAAUAUUGCACAAUGGAGGGAACUCUGAUGCAGCAACGCCGCGUGAGUGAAGAAGGUUUUCGGAUCGUAAAACUCUGUCAUUGGGGAAGAAUAAAUGACGGUACCCAAUGAGGAAGCCCCGGCUAACUACGUGCCAGCAGCCGCGGUAAUACGUAGGGGGCGAGCGUUGUCCGGAAUUACUGGGCGUAAAGGGUACGUAGGCGGCUAUAUAAGUCAGGUGUGAAAUACCAGUGCUUAACACUGGAAUUGCAUUUGAAACUGUGUAGCUUGAGUGCAGGAGAGGAAAGUGGAAUUCCUAGUGUAGCGGUGAAAUGCGUAGAGAUUAGGAGGAACACCAGUGGCGAAGGCGACUUUCUGGACUGUAACUGACGCUGAGGUACGAAAGCGUGGGUAGCGAACAGGAUUAGAUACCCUGGUAGUCCACGCCGUAGACGAUGGAUACUAGGUGUAGGGGGUAUCGACCCCCCCUGUGCCGGAGUUAACGCAAUAAGU